GGGCUCGCCGCUGACAGCCAGGAGGGAGUAGGGCUGAGGUAUGGGGGGGAGCCGGGGGAGACGCGCGGGCAGAUGAAGGGCCCGGCGGGAGGAGAGGAGAGGCGGCUGAUUGCAGAGCCUCUUGGACGAACCGCUCCCAGAGAUCGAGUGUUAUUGAUCCGAUGGGAGAAGAACAUCACACUUGGGGAACCCCCAGGAUUCCUCCACUCAUGGUGGUGCGUGUUCUGGGAUCUGUACUGCGCCGCCCCAGACCGGAGGGAGACCUGCGAGCACUCCAGCGAGGCCAAGGCCUUCCAUGACUACGUGAGUACACUUUAUAGACUUUACCCACCAGCUGUGUGUUAUCUCACUGCAGUAGCUAACGCACACACACACACACACACACGCACACACACAACCGCUCAGACAGGCGCUCAUACACACACACACACACACACACACACACACACACACACACACACACACACACACACACAUGCGCGUGCACAUGCACGCGCACACAUGUACGCACACAACCCUUGCACACACACGCACGACCAUUGCGCAAACAGACUCACAAACACCCGACAUGUAUGUGUACACAAACACCCACACACACACACACGGUUGUACAGCAGGGCCCGGUGUGAAUCAAACAGAGAGGGCUGUUCUCUGUGUGCCGACGCCACGCUCCCCUGUUGGGACACGUCCUUCCGCCGUCCCGCCGUGACUCCCUGCUCCCGUAUCCGUCUGCUCUUGUGCGCUCUGUCGUGUGUGUUCGCUGCUGGAAUCACGUGUCUGUAGCUAGGGGUGUUGUUGUGGCACUACCUGAGCACAGCCGGGACGCUGCGGCGGAGGAGGGUGUCUCUUCCCGGCGGCGUCUUUGUGAGAGCCCGUCGGUCCCUUAGCCCUGAAGGUCCCGCCCUCACAGCCUGCCAAAGGUCAAAGGUCGGGGUACUUCCUGGCUGUUAUAUUGGUCCGUUCACAGCGUUGAUGAAAGUCAGAGCGCACGCAGCUGCUGGCUUAGCACACGGACACGUGGUAACACACACGCGCACACGCACACGCACACACACACACACACACACACACAAACACACACACACACACACACACACACACACACACACACACACACACACACACACACACACACACACACGCACACACAUCUAGUUCUGUGAAGCACCGUCCGCAUCUAUUAGUAUGCUGCCUGGUAUCGACUCUGUGAGAAUCGACCGCAAAGGUCAAAGGUCCCGGCUCGCGGUCCGUCCUUACACUCCUCUCCCGGAGAGUGUUAGGCCACUCCAUCGUUAGACUGCAUAGAGCUUGCCGACGCGGUCGGGGGGGCUCUCACACUCUAAUAGACGGAUCGCCGCCCGCUCGUGUCUCGCUGCGUGGCAGCCCUUGGCGACCCUCUGGUUCGGGGCCCCAUGGCGGUGGGAGAGCCUAGGGACCCCGGGUGACCCUGUAGUCUGGGGCCCAACGGAGGGGGCCAGCCUGGGGACAGUAACGGAUUGAAAGGUUUGGCCGUGGAUCACUAGACAUUAACCUGGACUGGCCCCGACGCAGCCACCCUUCCCUGUUCGGUCCUUCAUUCAGUGUGUCUCGUUGCAUUGUUAAAUAUUUGUAUUGCGUUGCCUUGGAUGGGGUUUGAAUGAGGAUUAGGGGGGCAUUAGCACCUGAGCUGGACUCAGUAUAUUAGCCACUGGCUCUCUCAUUCUACCUGGGCAGGAGUGGAACCUGAAAUGGAUUAGAGGCGCUAUUCUUACCACAGAAUCCCAUUCAGCUCCUCAGUCCGUGGCCAGCAGCCCGUUCGCUGAGGUAUCUUAUGAGGUUUGACAGCCCAAGUGUGAGCAGUUGUCAUCCGAGCAGAUUACAUUUGUUGUGCGCGUGUUACAGAUGUGUGUGCAUGUGUUUGCGUGUGUGUGUGUGUGUAUUAGAGAGAGAGAGGGACAGCGAGCGAGAGAGAGAGAGAGGGAGUGUGUAAACGUGGCAGUCUGUAUGUGCACGCGUUAGACCACCAUAAGAUUAAUUACAUGGCUAAUUAAACCUAGUAGUUAAUUAAAUCUGACAACUGUGUCUAAUUAAUCUAAAUGCCGUAUCAUUUCCUACACCUUUCUCCAGAGGUAGGCCAGCUGGAUGCCAGCGCGCCCGCGACUCUUAAGCGAUUCAGAGCGACGACCGCGCCUGCGCGACGCCAGCUCGCUCCAAACCGCUCACAGCCCUGAGAGGUGAGCGGUUUGGAGCGAGCUCGCUCCAAACCGCUCACCUCUCCGGGCUGUGAGCGUCGGACGUUGUGCGCGGCGGAAUGAGAAGCUAGCGCUAGCGACGGGCCGUUGGUCUGACAGUCGGGUGUGGGAUGAAUCACUUAGGCACCGGAGUCCAGGUCUCUGGGAGAGCAGGUGGAAUAGAUGCACGCUCUCCCUCUCCGUCUCUUGGUUCGAGGGUCUGUUUGAUGGCGAGGUGAAAAAGAACGACUAGAAUUAGUCAAGACUGUAUUGUGGCGUUGUCCUUUUUAUGUGUGGAUCUUAACAAAAAGGAAAAAUUCACAAAAUCAAGCACCUGUAUUUAUUUGGCUGAUUAUAUGGUGAUGAAUAAAGUAUAAAGUACUUCAUCAAGUGGUGGGGGGGGGGGGAAUUGUACAUUCUAUCCUUGAAGCACAAACGGCGUACAAACACACACAGACACAAACGCGCACACACUCACACUAACACACUUUCACACUCGUUUUUCUCACACAGGGAGUGCUUUGUUCCAUUUGGAGGGUUCAUGUCCAGCUUUCCUUGACCCUUGACCCUUGACCUGGACGGAGAGCAGGGGGUCUGUGUGUGUGUGAACAGGCUCUCCACGCUCACUGUUUAUCGGAUGAUCAUUACAGCUUAUAGCUUAUAUGCUUCUGUCGUGGCCAUUGUGUGCAGCCUUUGUUGUUUUAUGUUUACACGUGUUUAUUGGAUGCGUGUUAAGAACCUCUGAGAACGGUUAAGACGGAGAGGAGAUUCUGCUGUGUGAGUGUGUGUGUGUGUGUGUGUGUGUGUGUGUGUGUGUGUGUGUGUAUACGUGUGCGUGUGUGCGUUUGUGUGUGCGUGCGUGUGUGUAUGUGUUCGACGUGCCUGCCUGUGUAAAUGUGUUUUGUGGUGUUUCUGCAGACAUUGUACCUGUCUUCCCACAAACAUAUGGCUCAUAAUACUGUGUGUUUGCAUGUGUCUAUGUGUGUGAGUGUGUGUGUGUGUCCAUGCGGUUUUGUGUGUGUAUUUGUGUGAG